AUGCUGACUGGGCAGGAUGCAGUGAUGACAGAAGAUCAACUAGAGGCUUUGCAGUAUUUUUUGGGUCUAACCUUAUUUCUUGAAGUGCCAGAAAGCAAGCCACCGUGUCACGGUCAAGCACAGAAGCUGAAUAUAAGUCCUUGUCAAAUGCAACUGCAGAAAUCAUUUGGGUUGAAUCACUUCUUGAGGAAUUGGGAAUCAAGAAGAAUCGUAUCUCAUGUUUAUGGUGUGAUAACUUGGGAGCAACAUAUUUGUCCGCAAAUCCUGUGUUUCAUGCAAGGACAAAGCACAUCGAAAUUGAUUUUCACUUUGUGCGAGAAAGGGUUGCAGCCAAGAAACUCGAGAUACGGUUUAUUCCCUCCAAGGAUCAAGUAG
rnacentral:rRNA from 1 species